AGGGUUUGAUCCUGGCUCAGGAUGAACGCUAGCGGCAGGCUUAACACAUGCAAGUCGAGGGGUAUCCGUUUUCGGACGGAGAGACCGGCGCACGGGUGCGUAACGCGUAUGCAACCUACCUUUUACAGGGGAAUAGCCCAGAGAAAUUUGGAUUAAUGCCCCAUGGUAUAUUUUUAGGGCAUCCUAAAGAUAUUAAAGUUCCAACGGUAAAAGAUGGGCAUGCGUCCUAUUAGCUAGAUGGUAAGGUAACGGCUUACCAUGGCUACGAUAGGUAGGGGUCCUGAGAGGGAGAUCCCCCACACUGGUACUGAGACACGGACCAGACUCCUACGGGAGGCGGCAGUGAGGAAUAUUGGACAAUGGGCGCAAGCCUGAUCCAGCCAUGCCGCGUGCAGGAAGACGCAUCUAUGGUGUGUAAACUGCUUUUGUACGGGAAGAAACACCUCUACGUGUAGAGGCUUGACGGUACCGUAAGAAUAAGGAUCGGCUAACUCCGUGCCAGCAGCCGCGGUAAUACGGAGGAUCCAAGCGUUAUCCGGAAUCCUUGGGUUUAAAGGGUCC
rnacentral:rRNA from 1 species